AAAUGCCAAACAGCAAGAGCAAGACCAGAAAAAAAUCCAGGACUGGCUGGCUUUUACCUGUGCUUCAAGGUUUACAUUCAUCCGGAAUUUUGAUUACAGAAUAUUAGCUUAUAGACUUCAAAUUUGAAGUAAGGAUAUAGAGAUUACUGAAUGGUUUGAUACUGAAAUGGUACCAUUGACUGAUAUUAUCUCCCUUUCCUCUUGCUGUGUGGAUCAAGUUUCCUUGAAGAGCUGUGAGCACUUUUGAUGCCAACUACAGAACGUGCUGAGUUAGCCCUUGCCUAAGGCCAUGCUCUGUAUUUUUGGCUCCUUCAGGCCAAUGCUUCUGGCUCCAGAGUAAAACUUAAGAUCUGAAAUGAGUUGCAAUGAUCAAUAUUUCUUUCUUCCCUCAAUAAUUCUUCCAGAACUUUGAAAACCGAAAAACUGACUCCCAAAGGUUGAGCAGUGAAGUUAUUCAAAACUUUUGGGGAAUUUUUAGUAUCUUCAACAUGGAAUUGUAUCCAAUAAUCAGAGCUGAAGAACAAAUUGAAGGGAAUGAAUCCCACUCAGUUUCAGUUCUUGCCAAAUUGAGAGAAGGUGGCUGCAAGGAAUUGUAG
rnacentral:lncRNA from 1 species